CACAGGGCAGCUGGCUCUUGUGGGAUCUCUGGGACACUGUUCACCCACCAUGGGCUACCCAGAUACAACUCCUGGUCUCCUUGUCUCUUAGAACUCUUCUCUGUUUUCUGAGGUUCUAAGGUCUCCAGAUAAGCUGGUUGUAGCUUCCAAGAGGAGGAGUUAAACAGACUUUAAAGGUACUGAGACAAGUUUGGGGGCUGCCUCCUUUAGAUGGGAGACAAGUGGCCUCAGCACUACAAUAAAGACUAGAUGCAAAACUAGACUGGCUCGGGGAAUCUCGGGGUCCGGGCGAGCUCUCCUUAGCGAGCUGCUGCCGAGGAGGCCAGGCGCUUCUGGAUACAGGGUCCAACCUCAACCAAGCAGGGGUUGGAGGGAGCAGCUAAGGCAGGCCUCAGGGAAGUGCCCAUACUGAGUGCUAGGGCUACCGAGAACACCUAAGUACUGCCCUACUGUGAGCAGCUAUGGGCCCGCUCACUGGUGGUGGUGGAUGGCAGGAGACAGAGGUAUGGUACUCAAUAACUUCUUUGAGAUCCUGGCAGAAGAGUUCCUAAUCAUCAGGCAAGGUUCCUAUUGCAGUAGGGGACGGCCCAGGCCCAAGCUCGGCCUAUCAGUCAACCGAGGCUCCCACAGACAGAGCCGAGAUUGUCCUAACAGUGUUCAAAGUGGAAGACGUACAAUCACCCAGCUGACUGGUAGUCAUGGCAGCAGACUGCCAUUCCAAGUAAACGCCGAGGACCAGGGGAGCUGAGCCAGUAAGAGUCGAGGGAGGCGCCCGCAAGAUCCUAGGAUCCCGCAGCAACAGGCUCGGAUCUCCCUCGGUGGGGUGGCUGUGGGACCCUGCUCUCGGAAGCAUCCUAGCUUUCAUACAAUAAUACUUAGAUACCAAGUCGUUGACUGCCCGGAAGUACAAAACCACUUCCACCACAGUGAGAAUCCUAAACCAGUGACGUGGAAGUGACCUUCUCCAUAUGCUGUCCUCGUGUUCAGGAACCCUCAGAGAGGUUACCUGGAAGUCUCUUCAAGACCACGAUAGACAAAUACAAAUCUCUCAGUGAGAGUGCUUCUGUGAUUGUUGCCACGUGUUUGAGAGGGGAACCGGGCCGUGACCUGUCCACACCUGCACACAAUGCCUGCCAAGACACGAUGUGCUGAGGAAGCCAUGUGCAGAGCUUAAGGCUGACGGACAUGUGCUUUUGAAAACUACUGGACAUUUGUGGCCCAGGACUUCUCCCUUGAGGGACAACGUAAGGCUUUUGGUUCAAGUGGCCUUGGAAUCAUGGAAUAUCAGCAGGGAACAGAAACAGAGAGAUGAUCUAGGACAAAAUGGCUCUGGCUCGCUACCAUGCGGAUGGGAGCUGAUAACUGUUGCUGCAUUCCAACUCUUCCCUCUGUUUUCGAGGAUACUUCCGGUCUGUCUCCGGUCCAGACUCAGUGAGGAGGGAGGAAGAGUACCUGGGCAGAAGGGAAGAGCAUAAAGGCACAGCACCUUCGAAGUGACCCAGGUGUCAGGCCUUCUUGCCUCGGUGGCAUUCUCAGUUCCCAUAGGGAUAACAGGGGUCGUCCCCUACACGGUUUGCCAAAAAUCUCACAAAUGAGAACAUGUUUUAUCUCUUCGGUAGAAGUUUUCUUCCACUCACCAACAUUAAUCACCAGAUGCCAAGAAAGGCAAAUAGAGGAGACAAAGCGGCCGGCAUAAAUUACAGCUGAAGGCCCACAGAUAAGAGUAAAGUCAACAGCUCUGUGUACCGCCUCACAUCCCCUCUGGAACUGGAUGGUGGCAUAAAUCUCACGUUAUAAAUAAAUGAGACGUUUCU